UGAGGUUUGGGUAAAGCUAUUAUUCCUAUUGGUAAUCGGUGCCUAUGUUCUGCUCCUAGGCCGCUGCUUCUUGCUGCAUGCACAGCUGAGGAAAUGCUGAAUACAAGAAGGAGAUCGCUGUGGCUCGAAGUCCCCCAGAGCUCGGGUCCAAAUGUUAUUGCUGUUGUGACAGAAGAAAUGAAUCAUUGCUCGAGGAGGUGUCACUUUUGUGAACAACAGGCGUACAAAUCAUCCGAGCAGCCUCCCUUGGUCCAGGAAACGUCUCCUUCACUGAACACACGCUCGAGGGCUUAG
rnacentral:lncRNA from 1 species